rnacentral:rRNA from 1 species
UGGAAACGACUGCUAAUACCGCAUAAGCCCACAGCACCGCAUGGUGCAGAGGGAAAAGGAGCAAUUCGCUUCAGGAUGGCCUCGCGUCCAAUUAGGUAGAUGGUGAGGUAACGGCCCACCAUGCCGACGAUUGGUAGCCGGACUGAGAGGUUGAACGGCCACAUUGGGACUGAGACACGGCCCAGACUCCUACGGGAGGCAGCAGUGGGGAAUAUUGCACAAUGGGGGAAACCCUGAUGCAGCGACGCCGCGUGGAGGAAGAAGGUUUUCGGAUUGUAAACUCCUGUCUUCGGGGACGAUAAUGACGGUACCCGAGGAGGAAGCCACGGCUAACUACGUGCCAGCAGCCGCGGUAAAACGUAGGUGGCAAGCGUUGUCCGGAAUUACUGGGUGUAAAGGGAGCGUAGGCGGGGAUGCAAGUUGAAUGUCAAAGCCAGGGGCUCAACCCCUGAUCGCGUUCAAAACUGUAUCUCUUGAGUGAAGUAGAGGCAGGCGGAAUUCCUAGUGUAGCGGUGAAAUGCGUAAAUAUUAGGAGGAACACCAGUGGCGAAGGCGGCCUGCUGGGCUUUAACUGACGCUGAGGCUCGAAAGCGUGGGUAGCAAACAGGAUUAGAUACCCUGGUAGUCCACGCCGUAAACGAUGAUUACUAGGUGUGGGGGGACUGACCCCUUCCGUGCCGGAGUAAACACAAUAA